GAUGGCGAGUGGCGCACGGGUGCGUAACGCGUAUGCAACCUACCUGUAACACUGGGAUAGCCUUUGGAAACGAAGAUUAAUACUAGAUAGUCUUAUUUUGUUGCAUGAUAGAAUAAGUAAAGAUUUAUUGGUUACAGAUGGGCAUGCGUUGCAUUAGCUAGAUGGUGAGGUAACGGCUCACCAUGGCUAUGAUGCAUAGGGGGCCUGAGAGGGUUAUCCCCCACACUGGGACUGAGACACGGCCCAGACUCCUACGGGAGGCAGCAGUGAGGAAUAUUGGUCAAUGGAAGAGAUUCUGAACCAGCCAUGCCGCGUGCAGGAAGACUGCCCUAUGGGUUGUAAACUGCUUUUUUGAGGGGCUAAAAUGAUGUAUUAUUACGUUACUGAAUGUACCUUAAGAAUAAGCACCGGCUAACUCCGUGCCAGCAGCCGCGGUAAUACGGAGGGUGCGAGCGUUAUCCAGAAUUAUUGGGUUUAAAGGGUCUGUAGGCGGCUUAUUAAGUCAGUGGUUAAAGGCAUUAGCUCAACUAAUGUACGCCAUAGAAACUGGUGAGCUUGAAUUAUUUUGAAGUAUGGGGAAUGUGUGGUGUAGCGGUGAAAUGCAUAGAUAUCACACAGAACACCG
rnacentral:rRNA from 1 species